CUCUCGCACGCAACUCGUGGCCACCUAGCCUAGAGGCGGCUGCCAAGCGUCCUGGCUGAGGGAUGGCGGGACCCCAGGCGGCUGGAGUGGAGAAAGUUGACCGCCCCCGUCUUUUCUGCCCCGUGGGUGGCUACUGCGUGCCCCCAAGUAACCCAGAGGUUGAGGGCCCCCCAGUGCGCGGCGGCCGGGGGUCAGGAUGCGGGACUCCCCUCCACCGCCAUGAUCUCGCAGUGUGGGGGAGCGCUCGGGGACAGAAAUGAGGCCCGAGAUGUGUGCCUUCUCCUUGCUCCUGACCGCUGACUUCGUUAUUCCAAAUACGCAGCCGAAACCAUCGCUCUUGCAGGUGCAGCUUUUCUCUGCCUCUCCUAUGUGGAAAGCAGCGCAGCGUGGACUCCAGCCAAACUCCCUCGAUUGGAUUGCAGCUCUCUGGCUCUCUGUCCCUGUGACCUUGGGCAGUUUACCUCCUCUAUGUCUCAGUUUCCUCAGCUGUGCAAAGGGGUUACUGAUCCUGCUUAAUGGGGUGGGUUGUUGUGAAGAGGAAAUGAGUUAACAUAAGUAGAGAAAGAGACUGGUGCCUGGCAAGCACUAUGUGAGUGUUUUGAUGUUAUUAUUGCUGUUUUUAUUAGAGCUGUGUGUAACGGGACGUUUAAUGAGCCUUUUCCUGUUACCCUGGAAUUAGUGAGUCAGGGCACAAAGUGUUCAUUUCCUCAAGAGGACACAACAAGGCACCAUCUUGGAAGCAGAGAGCGAGCCAUCACUGGACACCAAACCUGCAGGUGCCUUGAUCUUGGACUUCCCAGCCUCUAUAACUGUAAGUGAUGAAUUUGCUGUUUACAAAUUAUCCAGUUUCAGGUAUUUUGUUAUAGCAGCACAAACAGACUAAGACACAUAAUUUUAAAAAUUGAUUAAUCAUACU
rnacentral:lncRNA from 10 species